GUGCUCACUUCGGCAGCACAUAUACUAAAAUUGGAACGAUACAGAGAAGAUUAGCAUGGCCCCUGUGCAAGGCUGACACGCAAAAAAAGAAAAAGGAAAAAAAGAAAA
rnacentral:snRNA from 1 species